UUGGAUUAAUUUCAUCUUGUUCCACAAUUUCAAUGGUUAAUGAUCGAUGGGUGACCAAGUUAACUCUUACAUUAAUCUCACCCGGUGGAUCUAAAUCAUGGAGUGGAAACCAAAGAGAAGGAAGAAAAAAAAAGUCAAACGAUAAUCAAUUCAAAGUCAUGGUCAAAAUUGGAGUUAAUCUUUUGUCAAUCAAUUGGAGGCCUAAAGAAGCAACAACAACAAGAAGGAAAAAAAAUCAAAUCUUCCAACUAUCAACAUCAAUCAAAAGAGUUACAUAAUAUCUUGAUUGUCCAGUGUUUCCUUGGUGUGUUUUUUUUUCUUCCUCAUUAUCGUCAAUUGUUGAGAUUAGGAGUUUAAUCAUCACCGGAUAAAGUCAAUCAUUCAUGAUGUUGGAUGGAGAGAUAAUUACAAUUGAAAAAAGAAACGAUAAAAUUGAUUGGAUGUACGUACAAAUAUACCAACUUAAUUGUCUCUAUCCUAUUUGCCUAAAAAUUUGACUAUUGUGAUGACCAAUGGAUAAAAAAAACAAACAGGAAAAGGAAAUCAAUCAGAUCUCUGUACCAUUCUGAGAAAGUUGAAGCAAUAGAAAAGGAAAAAUGUUCUCAAUAAUCAAUCUAAUGAGAAAGACCAUUGGAAAAACAAUAAUCAUUUACCAAAGGACAGUGAAGAAUAACCUUGUCAACAUGAUAUGUGAAGUGAUCUUUUUAUUGUUUGAUUGACCAUCAUGGAUAAAUUAACUAUCGAUUUCCAGAUUAAUGAUUAACUGAUGGACAAAUUUAGACACUCACCAAAUUC